rnacentral:rRNA from 1 species
AUUGAACGCUGGCGGCAGGCUUAACACAUGCAAGUCGAGCGGAGUGAUGGUGCUUGCACUAUCACUUAGCGGCGGACGGGUGAGUAAUGCUUAGGAAUCUGCCUAUUAGUGGGGGACAACAUCUCGAAAGGGAUGCUAAUACCGCAUACGUCCUACGGGAGAGAGCAGGGGAUCACUUGUGACCUUGCGCUAAUAGAUGAGCCUAAGUCGGAUUAGCUAGUUGGUGGGGUAAAGGCCUACCAAGGCGACGAUCUGUAGCGGGUCUGAGAGGAUGGUACGCCACACUGGGACUGAGACACGGCCCAGACUCCUACGGGAGGCGGCAGUGGGGAAUAUUGGACAAGGGGGGGAACCCUGAUCCAGCCAUGCCGCGUGUGUGAAGAAGGCCUUAUGGUUGUAAAGCACUUUAAGCGAGGAGGAGGCUCUUUUGGUUAAUACCCAAGAUGAGUGGACGUUACUCGCAGAAUAAGCACCGGCUAACUCUGUGCCAGCCGCCGCCGUAA